rnacentral:rRNA from 1 species
GAUGAACGCUGGCGGCGUGCCUAAUACAUGCAAGUCGAGCGAACAGAUAAGGAGCUUGCUCCUCUGACGUUAGCGGCGGACGGGUGAGUAACACGUGGAUAACCUACCUAUAAGACUGGGAUAACUUCGGGAAACCGGAGCUAAUACCGGAUAAUAUAUUGAACCGCAUGGUUCAAUAGUGAAAGACGGUUUUGCUGUCACUUAUAGAUGGAUCCGCGCCGCAUUAGCUAGUUGGUAAGGUAACGGCUUACCAAGGCAACGAUGCGUAGCCGACCUGAGAGGGGGAUCGGCCACACUGGAACUGAGACACGGUCCAGACUCCUACGGGAGGCAGCAGUAGGGAAUCUUCCGCAAUGGGCGAAAGCCUGACGGAGCAACGCCGCGUGAGUGAUGAAGGUCUUCGGAUCGUAAAACUCUGUUAUUAGGGAAGAACAAAUGUGUAAGUAACUAUGCACGUCUUGACGGUACCUAAUCAGAAAGCCACGGCUAACUACGUG